CAGCUGUUGCUAGAUCAACUUUAAAGUUUACUGCCCAGUUGUUGUGAGAGAUUUACUCAAAUCCCGCCAACAAAUUUGCUUAUCUAAAUUCGCAAAUUC